rnacentral:ncRNA from 2 species
UAUCAGAUAUUAAACUGAUA